GACGAACGCUGGCGGCGUGCUUAACACAUGCAAGUCGAACGGUAAGGCCCCUCGGGGUACACGAGUGGCGAACGGGUGAGUAACACGUGGGUGAUCUGCCCUGCACUUCGGGAUAAGCCUGGGAAACUGGGUCUAAUACCGGAUAGGACUCCUGCCUGCAUGGGUGGGGGUGGAAAGCCUUUGCGGUGUGGGAUGGGCCCGCGGCCUAUCAGCUUGUUGGUGGGGUGAUGGCCUACCAAGGCGACGACGGGUAGCCGGCCUGAGAGGGUGACCGGCCACACUGGGACUGAGAUACGGCCCAGACUCCUACGGGAGGCAGCAGUGGGGAAUAUUGCACAAUGGGCGCAAGCCUGAUGCAGCGACGCCGCGUGAGGGAUGACGGCCUUCGGGUUGUAAACCUCCUUCAGCACAGACGAAGCGCAAGUGACGGUAUGUGCAGAAGAAGGACCGGCCAACUACGUGCCAGCCGCCGCGGUAAAAC
rnacentral:rRNA from 1 species